rnacentral:rRNA from 1 species
UACAGGGGGGGCAAGCGUUGUUCGGAAUUACUGGGCGUAAAGGGCGUGUAGGCGGCCAACUAAGUCCGACGUGAAAUCCCCAGGCUUAACCUGGGAACUGCGUCGGAUACUGGAUGGCUUGAAUCCGGGAGAGGAAUGCGGAAUUCCAGGUGUAGCGGUGAAAUGCGUAGAUAUCUGGAGGAACACCGGUGGCGAAGGCGGCAUUCUGGACCGGCAUUGACGCUGAAGCGCGAAAGCCAGGGGAGCAAACGGG